GAUGAAGAACGCAGCGAAACGCGAUAGUUAAUGUGAAUUGCAGAAUUCAGUGAAUCAUCGAGUCUUUGAACGCACAUUGCGCCCAUUGGUAUUCCGUUGGGCAUGUCUGUUUGAGCGUCAUUACAACAGUUCAGCGUAAGCUGGUUAUGAGUUCUUUUUUUUUAAACAAAAAACAGGCUUUAAAAUGUAUGUUCUGCAGGUCGCUUUGCUAAACCCUAAACAUUAAAUACUGUUCUAGUGAAGCAUUUGCGACUCUGCCUGAAAAAAAACUUUUGUUAAAGUUUGACCUCAGAUCAGACAAGGAUACCCGCUGAACUUAAGCAUAUCAAUAAGCGGAGGA
rnacentral:misc_RNA from 1 species